UGGUGGGAUCACGAUCAGUAGAAUGGUAGAAUGCUGACGUCACAAAAAUAAUUCUACAAUCGACAAUUUUGGUAUCACGUUAACACGCUUGGGAAAGUAGAAUCGGUGCUCGGCAAUGUUCGGAUAUUCUACUAGCCAUGUUAAAAAUAUCGCUUCUUCUUCUUAAAAAUAUUGCUGUUUGACGUGUGGUUGUCUUUAUUUUGUGGUGGUUGUAUUCAAAAAGCUAACCUAAAGAAAGAUUAUAAUUUGUGAUUAUUUUCAAUUUGUAUAUUUUUGUCUUGGGUUGUUUGGAACUAUUUUAUUAGAAAUCACUAAAUUUUUAAAUUUUACCUGUGACUAGAGAACAUUGUUAUAUUAAGGUAUUUUUAUGUGUGUGAUCCAGACUUAAAAAUUUUAAACAUCGAUGCUAGAUGGGGAGGUGCAACACAUGAUGUGGAGAAACUCAAAUGUAAAACUUUUUUGCAGCAGAUCGUUUAAAAUAGAGAUCAAAGCAUUUUCCAUUUCUAUUCUGGCAAAGAUUACUUUCACUUCUUAGUUAUCUUUGCUGGACGGUGAAGCUUUAUAUCUUAUUAUGAAGUAUUUUGAACAUAAAACUUUUGUUUUAUGGAUACAUUGAUCAAAUAUCUUAAAGAAAUGUUUAUUUAAAGUUUCAUAAUAAUUUUUAUAAGUAGUUUAAUAUUAUUACUUAUUUUUGCACUAGAAAUAAUAAUUGUAAAGCUUCAUUGACUAAUGGCCAGUUUCACCAAAGAUGAAUAGUAGUUUAUUCGAUGAAUAAAAUUAUUCAACUGAUAAAACUGACACAACUAUGUUUCUCUAACGUCAAAUAGUACUUAUUUUAUUUAUUCAUCAAAUAAAUAUUUACUCUUCAAAUGAAUUGACGAGUUAAUCUCACUUUAAAUAUCUAUAUAAAGAAAAUUUGUCAAUUUAAUUUUAAAUUAUCAAACUAUUCACUGAUUUAUUUGUUGUUGGUAAAACUGGCCAUAGAGAGUAAAAUUGCAUUAUUUUUCAAUUUACAUAAAUUUGUGGUUUAUUUGUGAUUUAUUCUUUGUUCUUAUUUUAGUCUUGGUAUGAAACAAUGUUAAGACAAUACUGUGUGCUUUUUCAGUCCUAUGAAAGAAAAUGUUUUGGAUGUAAUAGAGAAGUACUACAACUUUGUUAUGAAGAUUUGUCUUUAUGUUAUUUUUAUAAUGUUCAUGGAUUAUAUUUGUUUUUAUGUUUUCUUCAGUUUAAAUAAAGUUUAUGUUUUACCCA